rnacentral:rRNA from 1 species
UACGUAGGUGGCAAGCGUUGUUCGGAAUAACUGGGCGUAAAGGAUGCGUAGGCGGUUAAACAAGUUAUAUGUUAAAUAUAUAGGCUUAACCUGUAGAAAGCAUAUAAAACUGUUUAACUAGAGUGCAGGAGGGGUAAGUGGAAUUCCUAGUGUAGCGGUGAAAUGCGUAGAGAUUAGGAAGAACACCAGUGGCGAAGGCGACUUACUGGACUGUAACUGACGCUGAGGCAUGAGAGCAUGGGGAGCAAACAGG